rnacentral:ribozyme from 1 species
GGGGCUGUAAGCCCCAUCCAUAAUGCGGCCCGGCCCCAUCGGCCGGACGGUCACAAGCCCGUUAAACGCAGAGUGUGGG